rnacentral:rRNA from 1 species
AUUGAACGCUGGCGGCAUGCCUUACACAUGCAAGUCGAACGGCAGCGCGGACUUCGGUCUGGCGGCGAGUGGCGAACGGGUGAGUAAUGCAUCGGAACGUACCUCUCAGUGGGGGAUAACGUAGCGAAAGUUACGCUAAUACCGCAUAUUCUGUGAGCAGGAAAGCAGGGGAUCGCAAGACCUUGCGCUGAUUGAGCGGCCGAUGUCAGAUUAGCUAGUUGGUGAGGUAAAGGCUCACCAAGGCGACGAGCUGUAGCGGGUCUGAGAGGAUGAUCCGCCACACUGGGACUGAGACACGGCCCAGACUCCUACGGGAGGCAGCAGUGGGGAAUUUUGGACAAUGGGGGCAACCCUGAUCCAGCCAUGCCGCGUGAGUGAAGAAGGCCUUCGGGUUGUAAAGCUCUUUCGGCUGGGAAGAAAUCGCAUGGGUUAAUACCCUGUGUGGAUGACGGUACCGGAAUAAGAAGCACCGGCUAACUACGUGCCAGCAGCCGCGGUAAAAC